GUAGAAUAAUGACUCCACUAACCAGAAAAGAAGGAUGGAAUUGAUUAAUGGGCCCCCUUUCCCUCAAAGAGAGAUGCUUUUUCAAGGCUAACAUUUUUGUCAAUUUUUCAUACUUGCCAUCAGAGAUUCUACAUGCUGGUCCAUGUCUGCAAUCAUCCAAAACCAUCAGAGAUUUUAGAAUAUACAACUAAAAAUAACAAUUAAUAGUUGCUGCUCACAAAGGAAAAAACAAUAAUUUCAUGUAGUAACUCCAUAUGCUAAAGAUUAAACAUAUUAUAACUUACAUAGUGAAAUUUUAGAGGGAUUACAAUAAUUGAGCUACCGAAUAAUCUUUUAUAAAAAGCUAUAUUUUUCCUACAGUGAUAUGUCUCCCUCCCUAGUCCUUAAAGUGGUGAAUGUGAAAAACACCUGUCAGGAACAUAAAUGGCUACCAAGCUUUCAUGAUAUUACCUCUCAUCGUUGCACUGUUCAUUGAAUUAUUGCACUUGCAUUUUAUAGUUUCCUCAAAUAAACACUGCACUUGAAAAUAUCUUUCUUUCAGAGUUCUCUCAGUUAAGUGACUCUGCUACUGCUAGCAUUGUUUUCACACUUCAUCAACACUUCUUCUCUUUUCAACAAAUUUUGCAUCUCUGAAAAUGGCAGAUGCUUUGCUUGGAGCUGUGUUUGAUAAGUUGCUCUCUCUGGCUCAGAACGAACUCGCAACCAUUUCUGGAAUCAAGGGAAAGGCUCAAAAGCUGUCACGCAAUCUAGAACUGAUCAAGGCUGUUGUUGAAGAUGCUGAGGAGAAACAAAUCACAGACAAACCCAUAAAGGUUUGGCUGCAGCACCUCAAAGAUGCUGUUUAUGUCCUAGAUGAUAUCCUUGAUGAAUGUUCCAUCGAGUCCCUUCGACUUGCUGGAUUGUCCUCUUUGAAACCAAAGAACAUCAAGUUCCGCUAUCAGAUUGGCAAUAGGCUCAAAGAGAUUACAAGCAGAUUUGAUGAGAUUGCUGAAGGCAAGGCCAAGUUACUUCUACAAGAGCGUGUCAUGAGGGGGUGGUCAGCUGAAGAAGCUGAAGAGCGCGAAACCGGCCCUGCCAUUCUCGAAUCUCAAAUAUAUGGACGACUAGAUGAUAAGAAGAAGAUCGUGGAGUUUCUUCUCAGCAAAGAACGCUUCUCAGAUUUCCUUUCCGUCUAUCCCAUAGUUGGUCUCGGUGGAAUGGGGAAAACAACACUUUCUCAGAUGGUCUACAAUGAUGAUGGGGUGAGUAGCAAUUUUAAUCCAAAGAUUUGGAUUUGUGUUUCUGAUAAUUUCUCUGUCAAGGGAAUUUUGUGUUCCAUUGUAAAAUCUAUCACAGAAGAAGAAAAGUACAAUACCAUGGAUUUACCUGUAAUACAAAGAAAGGUGCAAGAACUGUUGCAAAGUAAAAGAUAUUUACUGGUUCUAGACGAUGUGUGGAACAAAAGUCAACAAAUGGAACUCGGAUUAAGCCAAGUCAAAUGGGACAAUUUGAAGUCUGUAUUAUUGUCAUGUGGAUCCAAAGGUGCUUCAAUUUUAGUGUCGACUCGUGAUAUGGAGGUUGCAGAAAUCAUGGGAACGUCAACAAGUCAACCUCACCGUUUGGAAGGUCUCUCUGAGGAUGAUUGUUGGUUGUUGUUCAAGCAGUAUGCAUUUGGAGCUAACAAAGAAGAGCGUGCAGAGCUUGUAGCUGUAGGCAAGGAAAUCGCAAAAAAGUGCAAGGGGUCACCUCUUGCAGCACGAGCAUUAGGUGGUCUUUUGCACUUAAGGAAUGAGGAAAAGGAGUUGGUUGAAGUUAUGGAAAGUAGGCUUUGGGAUUUGCAGGAUGAAAGAUGUAUUUUGCCAGCUUUGAGGUUGAGCUACUUUCAUUUAACUCCACCCUUGAGGCAGUGUUUCGCUUUUUGUGCCAUAUUUCCCAAAGAUACAAAAAUCAUUAAGGAAGAUCUGAUCGAUCUUUGGAUGGCCAAUGGGUUUAUCUCAUCUACGAAAAACAAGGAGGUAGAAGAUGUCGGAAAUUCAAUUUGGAAUGAAUUGUGUCGAAAAUCAUUCUUCCAAGAUAUCUCCACCAAUUAUUAUGGAAAGACUACUUUCAAGAUGCACGACCUUGUCCAUGAUCUUGCUGAAUCUUUCAUGGGGAAAGAAUGUGUAAUUUUGGACAAUGCAAACAUAAGUGUUUAAGUGUCAUGUAUGUUCCCUAAUAUUGGAAAAUUAUCCGGUCUGAGAACAUUAAGUGUUUACAUUGUCAGUUCAAAGACAGGGCAUAGCUUGGCAGAAUUACAUGACUUAAAACUCGGAGGAGAUCUGCACAUCAAAGGCCUCGAACACGUAUGCAGUUUAUCUGAAGCCCAAGAGGGCAAUUUGAAGGGUAAAAGCGGUCUUCACAAAUUAUUCUUGUCAUGGGGUAGUAGCAAGGAGACCAGGUCUCAUGCUACUAACACGGAUGGAGUACUUGAAGGGCUUCAACCUCACUCAAAUCUCAAGGAGUUGAGAAUAGAUCACUAUGCAGGAUUAAAAUCCCCAAGCUGGAUUGGAUUGCUCAGCAAUUUAGUGGAGCUUGAACUUUCUGAUUGCCAGAAUAUGAUGCAACUCUCAUCGAUCAGUAAACUGCCAUCUUUAAGAAGACUUGUGCUUGAGGGAAUGGAAAAUAUGAAGUACAUAGAUGAUGAUGAAUCUUACGAUGGUGUGGAAGUGAGAGCUUUCCCGUCUUUAGAAGAACUCAAAUUACAUUACUUGCCAAAGUUGGAGCGGUUGUUAAAAGUGGAAAAAGGGGAGAUGUUUGCCCGUGUCUCUGUGUUGCAGAUUAAGAGCUGUCCUAAACUUGAGUUGUCAUCAUGCAUUCCAUCACUUACAAGCCUUAAUUUAGAUGACUAUACAAAUGAGCAACUGAGGUCGGUCUCCCAUUUCACUGGUAUUACUUCCCUCUUUCUUCGUUAUGGCCACCUGACAUCCUUCCCAGUAGAACUCUUCAACAACCUCAACGCUUUGGAGGAGCUUACAAUUUGGGAAUGUGGUGAGCUGGAGUGUUUACCAGAGCAAGGCUGGGAAGGUCUUCUCUCCCUUCGAUAUCUGCGAAUUUGGGGAUGCCCAGGAUUGAGAUCGCUGCCGGAUGGCAUUCUACACCUCAACGCUUUGGAGCAGCUUACAAUCUGGAAUUCUGGUGAGUUGGAGUGUUUACCAGAGCAAGGUUGGGAAGGUCUUCACUCCCUUCGAACUCUGGAAAUAGAUUCUUGCAGAAGAUUGAGAUCCUUGCCGGAUGGUAUUCAACACCUCAACGCUUUGGAAGAGCUUACAAUUUGGAAUUGUGAUAAGUUGGAGAGUUUACCAGAGCAAGGUUGGGAAGGUCUUCACUCCCUUCGAUAUCUGCGAAUUUGUGGAUGCCCAGGAUUGAGAUCGCUGCCGGAUGGCAUUCUACACCUCUCUGCACUUGAGAGACUGAUAAUUGAAGGUUGCCCAGAAUUAAAGGAGCGGUGUAAAGAGGGUACAGGGGAGGACUGGGACAAGAUAGCGCAUGUUCCAUUAGUGAUAAUUGAAUGAUGAAGAAGAAGACAUGAAUUGAAUUUCUGAUUUGCUCCUCUCAGUCCAAUUCGGAAGAUAUAUGGAGUAAAGUAAAUCAUUCCUGGUUGAAAUCUGAGUGUACCAAAUGGAUUCUGUCUAUCAAUUGAAAUGCAAUCUCUGGAGCCUGAAAAUAAGCACCAGGGACCAUGCCAAGCUCAGAGCAUUAGAAGUUAGUCAUAGUUACUUUUGAUAAAAUACUUGAGUUGUUUCUUCAUUUGGGAAAUUUCUAUUUUUUCAAGUCUAUGGUUAUGUAAAAUUUGUGGAUCAGUUAUAGGCCUUUAAUUCAAGAAGCUGUGGCUGGCAUAUAUAUAGAAUUGUCUAUUGGAAUAAGACUGCAUUUAAGAAAUUCA